GAAAUACAGUGAUCAACAAAAAUAUCUGUUUUGAGGGCCAAGUUACCUACACAUUGUUUUUGGAAAGUGCUUCCAAGAAGUUCAGCAUCCCAACCUUGGACAAAGAGUCGUUGAUGACACAAAGACUGAGGUUGAUGAAGAGGUCUUUGAUUUCCUUAUGAAAAAACAAAACCUGGUGUGCUCGAGAUUUGUCUCGCACAAGGUCCAAAUCUAGAUGAUUGCCUGAGUUCCCCUGCAAGCAGCUCCUUUACCAGCUCCAGUGGGGAUAUUGAAGGGGACUCUGAUGACACCGUAAUAUUGCAGUGCAGUCCUGCCACAAGACAGAGAGCUGAAAACACCUCUCUUGCCAAAGUAAGCAAUGCCGAUUGCACUACACGCUUUCAGAAAGUUUACAUUUUAAACAAUUAAUCGAUUUGUUGUUUGGUCAAUAAAAUGUCAGUUUCCCAAACCGCAAGAUGACGUCCUCAAAUGUCUGGUUUUGUCCACAAACCAAAGGGAUAUUGAGUCCAUUGUCAUAAAGGAACAAAGAAACCAGAAAUAUUAACAUUUAAGAAGCUGAAAUC